UAUAACUUUAGAAAACUGAUAUGGCCUGAAUAUUGUCAGAUUUAACUCUGAAUGCAAAGGAUAAAUGUUUCUGAUAAGUCUGAUGAAAGCUGACUUCAUGAAAAUAAAUUAAUCCUUCUUUAAUGGCCAUGUUACCAAUGAGUUCUGUGGCUCAUUGAUUACAAGCCAUCUCCUGCAGUCCUUGACUUCCCUCG